rnacentral:rRNA from 1 species
UACGUAGGGUGCAAGCGUUGUCCGGAAUUAUUGGGCGUAAAGAGCUCGUAGGCGGCUUGUCACGUCGGCUGUGAAAACCCGGGGCUCAACCCCGGGCCUGCAGUCGAUACGGGCAAGCUAGAGUUCGGCAGGGGAGACUGGAAUUCCUGGUGUAGCGGUGAAAUUCGUAGAUAUUCGGAAGAACACCAGUGGCGAAGGCGACUUCCUGGCCUGUUCUUGACGCUGAGGCGCGAAAGCUAGGGGAGCAAACGGG